rnacentral:rRNA from 1 species
UACGGGAGGCAGCAGUAAGGAAUAUUGGACAAUGGGCGGAAGCCUGAUCCAGCCAUGCCGCGUGAAGGACGAAGGCGCUCAGCGUUGUAAACUUCUUUUGGAUGGGAACAAUAACCGAGACUUGUCUUGGCUUGAGGGUACCAUCAGAAUAAGCACCGGCUAACUCCGUGCCAGCAGCCGCGGUAAUA